AGGAAACUGGGAUUGACAUGUAAAAGAAGCUUGUUUCUAAUUUAAAAUUGUUCUAAUUACAAUUAUAAAAAUAAAAAAUGAAAGUGCUCACCAUCCUUAGCCAUCAGAGAAAUGUAAGUCAAAACAACUCUGAUAUACCAUCUUGUAUCUGUCAGAAUGGUUGAAAUCAAAGCAGCAAGGACAGUUCAUGCUGGAGAGGAUGUGGAGAAAGGGGAGCACUCCUCUACUGCUGGUGGAAAUGCCAACUUGUACAGCCACUUUGGAUCAGUAUGGUAGUUUCUCAGGAAAAUGUUAAUCAGUCUACCUCAAGACACAGCAAGUCCACUCUUAGGCAUAUACACAAAGAUAACCAUUCACACCACAAGGACAUCUGAUCAGCUAUGUUCUUAGAAGCAUUAUUUGUAAUUUCCAGAACUUGGAAGCAACCUAGAGGCCCCUCAACCUAAGAAUGGAUAAGAAAAUAUAGUAUAUAUACACAAUGGAGUACUACUCAGCAGAAAAAAAAACAAUGAAAAUUUAAAAUACACAGAAUAUUGUUCCAGGACACAUAUGUGGAUGAGCCCUAUCAAAAGGAUGGCUUCUGAACACUGAAAAGCAGCACAUAUAUGAAGACCAAAUGGAUCCUGAACAGCUAAAGAAACAUUUAUCAUUUAUAAAUUAAUAAACCAGUAUAACAUAAUUUGACAUCUACAGCAAGUAUAAAAGCUUGGGAAAAUAAACUCAUUUGUAGCAACAUCUAGAAAGCAUGGAGGUAUAGUAAUAAAAUAAUUAAAAUGAUCAUCAAGGCUACUCCCUGGUAAAAGUGCAUAUACUGCUCUUUCAGGGGACAUAAUUUUGAAUAACAAAAACAGUGUCAAGCCUCUUACAACAGACUAUAGCCAGUACCAAGAAAACACAAGGCCUCUGGUCUAUCAAGGCACAUACACUCAUAUGCACAGGUAUAUUUACACACGCAUGCACAUACAUGUACACAUACACAUGAUAGUUGUGAAAAAAUAAUGUUUAGGACAUUCAGAAAAGUAAAGCAUGUAAGAUAUUCAAAGUACUACAUAAAUUUCUUUAAGGGAAACACUAAUCAGUUUUUUAAAAAAUCAGAAAUUUUAGGAGAAAAUGUCUGGGUGAAGUAUAAAAGGGUAAAUGACAUUUAACAUUCUGUUUCAUAGUAGCAUAAUCAUAGUUGCAAUCUAUGAAUUUUAUAAAUAAUGUAUGGCUUUGUAAGUUCUUAACAAUAAUAAAGUUCAAU
rnacentral:lncRNA from 1 species